rnacentral:rRNA from 1 species
UACAGAGGGUGCGAGCGUUGUCCGGAAUCACUGGGCGUAAAGGGCGCGUAGGCGGCUCGGUAAGGUUGCGGUGAAAGCCCGGGGCUCAACCCCGGGUCGGCCGUGGCAACUGCUGGGCUCGAGCACUGUAGAGGCAGGUGGAAUUCCGGGUGUAGCGGUGGAAUGCGUAGAGAUCCGGAAGAACACCGGUGGCGAAGGCGGCCUGCUGGCAGUGACGUGUAAUGGUCAAUAGCUGACGCGAGGCGCGACAGCGUGGGGAGCAAACACGG